UACGGGAGGCAGCAGUGGGGAAUUUUGGACAAUGGGCGAAAGCCUGAUCCAGCAAUGCCGCGUGCAGGAUGAAGGCCUUCGGGUUGUAAACUGCUUUUGUACGGAACGAAAAGGUUCUGGUUAAUACCUGGGGCACAUGACGGUACCGUAAGAAUAAGCACCGGCUAACUACGUGCCAGCAGCCGCGGUAAUACGUAGGGUGCGAGCGUUAAUCGGAAUUACUGGGCGUAAAGCGUGCGCAGGCGGUUUUGUAAGACAGAGGUGAAAUCCCCGGGCUCAACCUGGGAACUGCCUUUGUGACUGCAAAGCUGGAGUGCGGCAGAGGGGGAUGGAAUUCCGCGUGUAGCAGUGAAAUGCGUAGAUAUGCGGAGGAACACCGAUGGCGAAGGCAAUCCCCUGGGCCUGCACUGACGCUCAUGCACGAAAGCGUGGGGAGCAAACAGGAUUAGAUACCCUGGUAGUCCACGCCCUAAACGAUGUCAAACUGGUUGUUGGGUCAUUAACUGAACUCAGUAAACGAAGCUAACGCGUGAAGUGACC
rnacentral:rRNA from 1 species